UACGUAGGGUGCAAGCGUUAUCCGGAUUCACUGGGUUUAAAGGGUGCGUAGGCGGGUUGGUAAGUCCGUGGUGAAAUCUCCGAGCUUAACUCGGAAACUGCCGUGGAUACUAUCAAUCUUGAAUAUCGUGGAGGUAAGCGGAAUAUGUCAUGUAGCGGUGAAAUGCUUAGAUAUGACAUAGAACACCAAUUGCGUAGGCAGCUUACUACACGAUCAUUGACGCUGAGGCACGAAAGCGUGGGGAGCAAACAGG
rnacentral:rRNA from 1 species